rnacentral:lncRNA from 10 species
GAGUCUCCCUUUAUUGCCCAGGCUGGACUGCAGUGGCGUGAUCUCGGCUCACUGCAAGCUCCGCCUCCCGGAUUCAAGCGAUUCUUCUGCCUCAGCCUGCGAUUCUUCUGCCUCAGCCUCCCGAGUAGCUGGGACUACAGGCACGUGCUACCACACCUGGCUAAGUUUUUGUAUUUUUAGUAGAGAUGGGGUUUCACCAGAUUAGCCAGGAUGGUCUCCAGCUCCUGACCUCGUGAACCGCCCGCCUUCGUCUUACAAAGUGCUGGGAUUACAGGCAUGAGCUUCCGCGCCCGGCCCCGAAACUUUCUUUCAACAAGAGUUAGAGGAGUACAGAGAAGAGAAUAAAUUGGUGAGGAAUUUCAUGGAAGAGGUGAAAUUUAAGAAGAAUUUUAAAGAAUAGGUAGAAUUUGGUUAUGUGGAAAGGAGUCAAAAAGUUUUUCCAGGCAGAAGGAAAAUUGAGUAAAAACUUUGAGUCAGAAAAAAGCAUGAUCCAGAAAUGUGAGAAAACUAGUCUGGGACACUGAGUUGUUUUUUUCUUUGCAUGUAUUCAACAAAUAUUUAUUGAAUAACUACCAAGUUUCCAGCGCCAUACUAGGUGCGACAAGAUAAUGAACCUCCAUUCCUCUGAGAGAAGAGUAUUUUGAAUAUUCGACUUUGCCCAUGAAUUUCCCUUUCCAUGCAAGUAUUAAAUAUUUCAAUUUUUUAUGUAUUUUGUGAUGUUAAAAGAAAAUAGAAACACUGGCUUCAUCAAACAGGUUGAUAUUUUAUUGUAUUUAAAAAAUCUGUAAUACAUACCCAGGCAUGGUACAGAGUUUCAUAAUGUCACUAUAGCUUCCUUUUUAUCUUGUUUCGUCAUCCUUCAUACAUGGCUUUUAUUUUCAUGGUUACCACAUGGCUCCAAAAUGCAUGCUCUGUGUCUAGCCUCUC